rnacentral:rRNA from 1 species
CCCUUAGAUGUUCUGGGCCGCACGCGCGCUACACUGAUGCACUCAACGAGUGCCUGGACCGACAGGUCUGGGAAACCUUUUGAAAUUGCAUCGUGAUGGGGCUAGAUUAUUGCAACUAUUAAUCUUCAACGAGGAAUUCCUAGUAAGCGCAUGUCAUCAGCGUGCGUUGAUUACGUCCCUGCCCUUUGUACACACCGCCCGUCGCUCCUACCGAUUGAAUGAUCCGGUGAGGCCCCCGGACUUGGACAACUUGAGCGGUUCGCCGAUCGGGAUGUCUAGGGAAGCUGUCCAAACCUUAUCAUUUAGAGGAAGGAGAAGUCGUAACA